CCUACGGGAGGCAGCAGUGAGGAAUAUUGGUCAAUGGGAGAGAUCCUGAACCAGCCAAGCCGCGUGAGGGAAGACGGCCCUAUGGGUUGUAAACCUCUUUUGUCGGAGAACAAAACCCGGGACGUGUCCCGUACUGCGUGUAUCCGACGAAAAAGCAUCGGCUAACUCCGUGCCAGCAGCCGCGGUAAUACGGAGGAUGCGAGCGUUAUCCGGAUUUAUUGGGUUUAAAGGGUGCGUAGGCGGUCCGUUAAGUCAGCGGUAAAAUUGCGGGGCUCAACCCCGUCGAGCCGUGGAAACUGGCAGACUUGAGUUGGCGAGAAGUACGCGGAAUGCGCGGUGUAGCGGUGAAAUGCAUAGAUAUCGCGCAGAACUCCGAUUGCGAAGGCAGCGUACCGGCGCCAGACUGACGCUGAGGCACGAAAGCGUGGGGAUCGAACAGGAUUAGAUACCCUGGUAGUC
rnacentral:rRNA from 1 species